rnacentral:misc_RNA from 1 species
CAAGAAUCAGUAACCAGAAAUCGAAACUUAAAGAUGUGUCCCAAUUGAGAGAGCGAGAGGGUGCGUGCGUGCGUGUGUUAGAGUUCAAAAGCCUUGCCCACGGAUUAGGGCUCUUAAAUCUCUCUUUAUAUUAUCCUAGUGCAAGUGGAUUUUCAAGUGAGGGAAAAAGGUUGCUUUUGUUGUAGAUUCUGCGUUGGAUUGGGCUGCGAAUGGGUGAAGAAGAAACAGUAACCAAAGUUUCUGAGGUAGUUGAAAAUGGGACUAGUGCACCAGAGAAAUCUGUUAAUAUUGUGACAGAGAAAAUGGAAGAGGAAAGUAGUGAAUUGAAAGCAAUGGAUGAAGAUAAACUUAAUAAUGAGAAAGUUGAGGCUGAGAAGAUGGAUGAAGACCCCAAGGUGAAUGAAGAAAAGGAAAGCCAAGAAGAUGAAGAAAAAGGAAAGGAGGAACCCAAAACUGUAGUGGAGGAAAAAA